rnacentral:misc_RNA from 1 species
GAAAUGCGAUACGUAGUGUGAAUUGCAGAAUUCAGUGAAUCAUCGAAUCUUUGAACGCACAUUGCGCCCUUUGGUAUUCCAAAGGGCAUGCCUGUUCGAGCGUCAUUUGUACCCUCAAGCUUUGCUUGGUGUUGGGCGUCUUGUCUCCAGUUCGCUGGAGACUCGCCUUAAAGUAAUUGGCAGCCGGCCUACUGGUUUCGGAGCGCAGCACAAGUCGCGCUCUCUUCCAGCCAAGGUCAGCAUCCACAAAGCCUUUUUUCAACUUUUGACCUCGGAUCAGGUAGGGAUACCCGCUGAACUUCAGC